rnacentral:lncRNA from 1 species
UUCCAUCUCAUCCCUCUCAACCCCUCAUCUCUUCUCAUCUCUAUUUGGAAACAUACAUCCCCUCACCUCUUUCCAUAUCUUUUCAAAACGUACACCCCCUUAUCUUUCCGUAUCUCGCGAUCAUUGCACACCCCUCCAACUACCCACAUCUGUUUCCAAAAUCCUAAUUACCCUCUCUCUAUCUUAAACUCUGUUUUUUCUUCUUCUUGUCAUCCCCUCUCUCUUUAUUAAUGGAGGAAUUGAUGCUCAUGUCAUUUUUGAUGGAAACUGAUUUUCCAACAAAGAUGAAAUACUCUAAUCAAUGAAUAAUUUGAGAUUUCAACAAUAUGAAAAUCAGGUUAUUUAUGAAGAACUAUUUUUGUGUAUUUUCUCUAAAAUUUAUCUGAACUAAUUAUUAACUACUCUUUCAUUAUUUUUAAUUUUUUUCACAUGUUAUAAUUAUCUUGCUUCCAGGACCAUAGUACUUUACUAAUGGAUAAAAGAUUUGUUAUAUUUGGUUUAGAUUUGUAGUUAUCUAAAUUGGAGUUAAAUUCUAAUCUAAUUGGGAUUGGAUAUAAUUUAGAUUUAAUUUGGCAUAUAUGAAUUAUAAUUAGGAGUGUAAUUCUAAUUGAAUUAGAAUUAGACUCUAGUUAGGAGACAUGUAUUAUAUAUACAUGCUACGGCCAAGUUAAUGACGCCGCGACCAAAUUUGAGAAGCCAUGCAAAUUAAUUAAGAGCAUAUUGGUA